rnacentral:ncRNA from 1 species
CAGUAAGAGGUGCGUUUUUCAUCAGUAAACUGGGUCUUGAUACCGGAGUCUUAUAUACCUGGAAGAAAGGGGAAAUCGCCGAAGGAAAAAUGGGGUCCGCGCCAUGGUUCCUGGGGUUUCAGUGAAUAACUGAAGCACUGUCACUUGCUAAAGCUUGUGGAGAGCUGCUGU